rnacentral:rRNA from 1 species
UACGUAGGUGGCAAACGUUGCUCGGAAUUAUUGGGCGUAAAGCGCACGUAGGCGGUUUCGUUAAGUCGGAUGUGAAAGCCCUCGGCUCAACUGAGGAAGUGCACCCGAAACUGGCGAGCUUGAGUACGGAAAGAGGAUCGCGGAAUUCCCGGUGUAGAGGUGAAAUUCGUAGAUAUGGGAAGAACACCGGUGGCGAAGGCGGCGAUCUGGGUAGAUACUGACGCUGAGGUGCGAAAGCGUGGGGAGCAACAGG